GGGGCUGUAUGCUAGUCUGGUAGGCUUCUGGCAUGGGGUGCCAGCGACCCGAGGUGGCAUCAUGCUAACGGGAAUUCAAAUGGCACAUCCUGAAAAUCUCGGCAGCCCCA
rnacentral:tRNA from 1 species